GCUGGCGGCACGCCUAACACAUGCAAGUCGGACGGUAACAGUUAUUUUGAAGCUUCGGUGGAAAGAUAAGCUGACGAGUGGCGGACGGGUGAGUAAUACGUAGGAAUCUGCCCUGGAGAGGGGGACAACUCGGGGAAACUCGAGCUAAGACCGCAUAAUCUCUGAGGAGCAAAACGUGCUAGGAAUUAGUUGUUUGGAUGAGUGACUAAUUCUUAGUACGUGCUUCAGGAGGGGCCUACGUUGGAUUAGCUAGUUGGUAAGGUAAAGGCUUACCAAGGCGACGAUCCAUAGCUGGUUUGAGAAGACGAACAGCCACACUGGGACUGAGACACGGCCCAGACUCCUACGGGAGGCAGCAGUGGGGAAUAUUGGACAAUGGGGGCAACCCUGAUCCAGCGAUGCCGCGUGUGUGAAGAAGGCCUGAGGGUUGUAAAGCACUUUUAAUCAUGAGGAUUGCCCAGCUAUUAAAUGGGUAAGGAAGAGGAGACGCGCAGAUAUAGCGAAUGAUUUGAAGAGAAUUAUGAGUUGUAUUUUGUAGGCGUAGAUAUU
rnacentral:rRNA from 1 species